rnacentral:rRNA from 1 species
UACGUAGGGAGCAAGCGUUGUCCGGAAUCAUUGGGCGUAAAGAGCGCGUAGGCGGCCCUGUAAGUCCGUUCUGAAAGUCAAAGGCUCAACCUUUGAAAGCGGAUGGAUACUGCAGGGCUAGAGUCCGGAAGAGGCGAGUGGAAUUCCUGGUGUAGUGGUGAAAUGCGUAGAUAUCCGGAGGAACACCAGUGGCGAAGGCGAGUCCCUGGACAACUCCUGACGCUGAGGCACGAAAGCUAGGGGAGCAAACAGG